rnacentral:rRNA from 1 species
AUUGAACGCUGGCGGCAUGCUUUACACAUGCAAGUCGGACGAGUGGCGGACGGGUGAGUAAUGCUUGGGAAUCUAGCUUAUGGAGGGGGAUAACUACGGGAAACUGUCGCUAAUACCGCGUACCAUAGGAUGAGCCCAAGUGGGAUUAGGUAGUUGGUGAGGUAAAGGCUCACCAAGCCGACGAUCUCUAGCUGGUCUGAGAGGAUGACCAGCCAAACUGGGACUGAGACACGGCCCAGACUCCUACGGGAGGCAGCAGUGGGGAAUAUUGCGCAAUGGGGGCAACCUGACGCAGCCAUGCCGCGUGAAUGAAGAAGGCCUUCGGGUUGUAAAGUUCUUUCGGUAGCGAGGCGUUAACUACAGAAGAAGCACCGGCUAACUCCGUGCCAGCAGCCGCGGUAAUAC